UUAAGUUGCAAUGAAAAUAGCUUUAGGAAAGUGAUUUGUAGUUUUAUAGAUUAUAAACAUCUGGAAAUUUGAAAAGGUCAAAUAUCACAAUCAGAAUAGAAUCGUUAAGAAACUGCGUUGUUUCCAGCCAGAUGUGAUAAGAAAAUGCAUCAGUCAUCAAACGCAUUGGCAACAAUCUCAAACGCUGAUCGCACCUACACGUGACUCAUGAAAUAUAUUUAUAAUAUGUGGAAUAUAACAUACAUAGUAGUCGACUUAUAUACAUACGUAUAUAUACCACAUGUAUUCAAAUUACAGAGAAAAAAGAAUUCAUAUUUCUAAGGUAAGUUUAAAUUAAAUGACAAAGUUCAACCUAUUGGACUCUUGACUCAACAAAUCUGGCUUAAAUGAUUACUGCAAAUUAAAAUUACAACAAAUCCUAAAUCUGAAUCAAUUCUGGCAUGAUUUUAGUUGAUCAUUUUUCUCUCAAUGUACAACUUUUCGUUAUACAUAAAUGUAAAUACCUAUGUAAGUGUAGCGGGUGUUUCCCGGCGAUAAGAGCAACUGCGCUUCAGAGCUGAGUCUAGAAAUUGUAAAAACCGCAGCAUCAGUUUAAAUUGAGACUUGCAACAAACCAAACGUAUACGAAAUGAAGAUUAAAGUGGCGCUACUUUUAGUAUUAGCAGCGAUUGCAAUGGCAACAGGAUUUGUGGCGCCGGAUUGUCCACCAUGGACACAAUGCUGGAAGGAUUAUAAAAGCGGCAGAAUUAAAUACUGAAUUUGGUUAUCGUUGUUAAUUUAAUUUUAAUCACAUAUUUGGUGUAGUUGUUGCCGGAGUUAUUAUUUGAAUAUUAAAUGAAAUUGACAAAUCAAA